CUACGGGAGGCAGCAGUGGGGAAUAUUGGACAAUGGGCGAAAGCCUGAUCCAGCCAUGCCGCGUGUGUGAAGAAGGCCUUCGGGUUGUAAAGCACUUUCAGUGGGGAAGAAAGCCUUGGGGCUAAUACCCUCGAGGAAGGACAUCACCCACAGAAGAAGCACCGGCUAACUCCGUGCCAGCAGCCGCGGUAAUACGGAGGGUGCGAGCGUUAAUCGGAAUUACUGGGCGUAAAGCGCGCGUAGGCGGUCUGAUAAGCCGGUUGUGAAAGCCCCGGGCUCAACCUGGGAACGGCAUCCGGAACUGUCAGGCUAGAGUGCAGGAGAGGAAGGUAGAAUUCCCGGUGUAGCGGUGAAAUGCGUAGAGAUCGGGAGGAAAACCAGUGGCGAAGGCGGCCUUCUGGACUGACACUGACGCUGAGGUGCGAAAGCGUGGGUAGCAAACAGGAUUAGAUACCCUAGUAGUC
rnacentral:rRNA from 1 species